rnacentral:lncRNA from 1 species
GGUGAGGCUAUAGUUAACUAGUUUCUCCCGAGGGUAAUCCUUGUUAAGAACAGAUUGCUCUGGCGUAGUUUUAAAUGGUUCCUUUUGCUCACCUCCUGCUGAAAGCAUGAAGAGAUUCUUCUCUGAUAUUUUCUGUGAGAAUCUGAUCAAGCUCCUAGAGGUGAAACUCACAAAUAUUUGGUAGUCGCUCUAGACUGGGUUGCUCCGGAGUUUUUAACUCUCAGGCUUGUUCGCCCUGAUUCUCCAGCAAUUUGUAAAUUAGAGCUCAGGUUUUCCUGCCCCAGCACCGGUCCCCACAGUGGUUUCCACAGGGCAAAAUCUUUUUCCCUUGAAGACUGGAAAUAUUAUCCAUGUUGUCCUCCGGAAUAUUUUCAAUGACUUGUGCCCUGCCAGCUCUAGCUUUUGAAGGGUCUACACUCAUCAUCAACAGAUUCUGGGGGUUCAUGCACAGAUUUCUUACCUGGGUAUAUUGUGUGAUGCUGAGCUUUGGAGUUCAACUGAUUUCAUCACCCAGCAACCAGCCCAGGAAGCCAGCCCAUUAUCCAGAGGAACCAACCAAGGAAGCCAGCCUGCUCUCUAGAAGCUAGACUUGUAGGAAGCCAGACCACUGUCUCUAGCAACUGAUCCAGGAAGACAGAAAAGAACACCUCAAUAACAGGACCAAAGUGGCCAGGACUUGACUGAUGAGUAACUGACAGCUUCCCUAAUUUUUGGCCCUACUUCCAACAGAAGAACAACCAGAGAAAGCCAAGUAUGCACCUGAUGCCCCACUUCCAGUGAGCCGCCUCCAGCUUCCCACGCCAACAGCUUCCAAUCAGCACACUUUCGGAGCCUUCCCUUUUCUCCACGAUGAAAGCUUCCCCACUCCUCUGACUGCCUUUGAGCCUCUGCCAAAACUCAAGUGAUGGUAGCCGACUCCCUGCUACCGCAAGCUUGGAAUAAACAGCCUUUGCUUUUCUCAUC